ACGUCUCCCUGGACACGGGGAUGGUUUCACAAAGGGAUUGGAGUCACUGAGAGGUAAGGAGAAGUCUGCUGGCAGCUUCUGGGACAUUACACCCUGGUGCUGAAGAGAUCGCUGCUGGAAAAGGCUGUCUUCCUGGCGAUGUUGUCAGCAAAUGGAAACCUAACAGAGACACUAUAAAGGCUACCAUUCCAAUGCUUUUGGAAUUAGUGCUGGGAGAACCCGAACAGAGCCCUUCUCCUCUCCCGUCUUCGACAGUCGGGGGGCGGGCCGACCCAGCACGCAGGAGGCCUGCACCGCACAGCCUUCUUGCUGAACCAGGCAGCAGCUGCACCCCAUGGGGCUCCCUCCCACGUAAGCCAACGUAGGAAAAGACGCUGCAAAUCAAAGAUGACCACCCUGGAGAAGCAGGAGAAACCCCCCAACUUGAAUGAAUGUAUCAACAUUUGAGAAAAUGUAGGAGGUGGAUGUUACUCUUUAAUCUGCUCAGCAUCCUUCCCCUACCCCUUUUGAUAAUUGGCCUCAUCCAGUGGACACAGUUCUUGGAAUGAGAUCCAGGCUAGGCCAAUCAAUCUCUCCCUGAAGUGUUUCCUUGAAGCUGCAAGAGAGGAACUCUGUCCCCUCUUGGAUUACAGAGCUGGAAGGAGAUGAAUUUGAUGCUACUAGUGUCAUGUUUCUAACCAAGGGAGAUGGGGCCUAGUAAGGCUUAAUGGUCUUCGUUUAUUUUCCGUCAGAUCUUUUAAGCUUCCCCCAUGGUGACCAGCCCCAGAGUAAUGCACAUUUAAUUCAACUUCUAAUGCAGGAAAAUCAAUUGCAUUGCA